rnacentral:rRNA from 1 species
UCCCCCCCCACUCCGAUGAAGAUGACGGGUGGAACUUAAGCAUAUCAGUACGCCCAGGAGAAGACACCAACCGGGAUUCCUUGAUUAGCGGCGAGCGAUCCAGGAGUAGUCCGACCUCGAAGCGAUGAGCGUUGUGAGGACUGGGGGGAUGUCCUAAACCCGAAGAUGGGUUGAAACCCACACCAAGGAGGGUGCCAGUCCCGUAGGGAUGGACACAACCCCAACGACGAGUACCUCUGCUUGAGAGUGUAGAGGGAAGAGGAGGUGGUACCCUUCUAAGGCUAAAUACCGCCCCGAGACCGAUAGAGGACCAAGUAGUGCGAACGAAAGGUGAGAAGGAUGCCGACCCAGGCACGUCAAAAGACCCUGAACCCGGGAGGCGACUCCCGACCUGUCGAUGAUCGAUUGGUCGGGCCCGUCUCGAAACACGGACCGAGGAGUUAGGACCGAUCGCGAGUCAUGUGGCAAAGGGAAGUCAAGACUUCAAGGGCCCCUUACAAGGGCAGAGCGAUCGGUCCUAGACCCGAAAGGUGGUGAUCUACACUUGACCAGGGUGAAGCCAGACGAAAGCCUGGUGGAGGCCCAUCCCGGUGCUGACGUGCAAAUCGCUCGGUCGAGUUGGAGUGUAGGGCGAAAGACUCAUCGAACCACCUGGUAGCUGGUUACCUCCGAAAUGUCUCCCAGGAUAGCCGACAUCAUGAACAGCUGCCCUAGGUAAGGCCACGAUCGGUGGGAGUAGGGAGGUCACUCCUUAUCCACCCCUCGAACCAUGAACAAGGGUGGAGCGGGGCCAACUUGUGUGGGCCCCCUCAACAGUGUUGAUGUCGAGUGGGCCUCUCCUGGUAAGCAGGACGGGCAAGACGGGAUGAACCGACAGUCGGGGGAAGGUGUGGAAGUGUAUGCUCGAUCAAACGGUGUCCGUCGAUCGUGACAGCUGGAAGGUGGCCUUAACAGUAGGAAGCCUCUAAGGAGUGUGUAACAACCCACCAGCCGAAUCGAGGGGCCCGGAAAAUGGAACACGCCGAAGCAUACGAUCGGAACCCGACCGAGAUGUGUCUCGGGUAGGAGGUCGUCAUGAUCGAGUCGAAGCCAUGGGGUGACACGUGGUGGAUCGAGUCAUGAUUGCUGAUCUCGGUAGUAGUAGCCAUUACUCCAUCUGGAGGCCUGACGUGGAGAUGGGUUCCGUAUCCCUGUCGAUCAGAUACGGGUGACACGAUCCUAAGUCCGAUGGUGUACGCCGUACCAUGGGGUCAUCCUCACAGGACGAUAGGGCUGACCGGUUAACAUCCCGGUGGUAUGAUGGGGUCUUGGUGACAUCCUUU